rnacentral:tRNA from 2 species
CGGAGUGUAGCGUAGCUUGGUAGCGCGUUCGGCUGGGGGCCGAAAGGUCGUGGGUUCAAAUCCCGCCACUCCGACCA